CUGAAAUAACGGUCACUCUUCCCCUCCUCGCGCUUUAGAAUGACGAACGCCACCAACGUUUACGGAAUAAUAAUUAACAACACGUUAAAACAGUAGUGACAAUAAAGCUUAGUAUUUCUAAGAUAAUAAUGACAAUAAUAAUAAUAUAAUGGCCUAGCAAUUGGGUAGUAUUCAGUGUUCAUCUUGCUCAGACAAGAACCAUGGAAAAGAAGGAGCAUGACUUUGAUUUAAGUCCAUCAGUUUCAAUGGGGCUACUCGAGACAAUUAGCUGCCAGAUGUAUGUUUUACCAGCUUCAGCCAAGAUUGCCUUUUGGCAGCUUUGAUUGAAUUACCUUUUAUAGAUGGACAUGACAUCCACACUUCAGUACAAUCCUUUGGCUGUCUACUCGGAAGUAAGUUUCAUUGAAUUCAGUGGCAUUUAUUCCCAGGAAACUGGAUAGAGGAUUUGGAAACUUCAGUUGGUCCAAAGGGAGGUGACCAGAAUUACUAGGGGCACCUGAUGACUGGAGCAUAUAAUUCUAGACUUGUGCUAGAUCCAAUGAUUACCCACAAGGAUUCUUAUAUAAAGCUGUCCACAUUUUAAGAUCUAUUUUGGAGGCCCCGCUCCCUGCAUGAAUGAUCAAAGUGACUAAACACAAGAGACAGGGCCUUUUCAGUAGUGGUGCCGAUGGUUCGAAAUGCCCUCCCUAUGGUGACUUGCCUGGCCCUGAAAUUUUCUGGAAAGAAACAGAAAUUAUGCAAAUAGGCAUUUACCAUCUAGUUCUGCUGUUGUUUUUAACUGCUGCCUUUUAUGGUUAGUUGCGUCUAAUCCUUUUUAAAGUGUUUUAUUUGUUCUUUAUCGCAUCAUUGUGUCCCAUUUUUUUUAAGCGGCUCUGAGUAUUUAUUGGUAAAAGAGUGGGAUAUAAACAUUAAAUAAUAAUAAUAAUAAAUAGCAUCCAGAACGUCCUUUAAUGCAGCACUUUUUAGCUGAUUUUUCAUAUCAUCUCUCUUUGCAUCCCCGUCCUCCUAAGAGCAAACUCCAUCAGCCCCAGCCAGCAGAGUGAGGAUAUACUUCAUUAUGUUGUUGCAGUCACUUGAAUACAAUAUAAAACAGUAAUGACUUAA